AGAGUUUGAUCCUGGCUCAGGAUGAACGCUAGCGGCAGGCCUAAUACAUGCAAGACGAACGGUAAGCGGUGUAGCAAUACAUUGCCUAGAGUGUCGUAAGGGUGCGUAACAAGUAUGCAAUCUGCCCUGUACUGGAGAAUAGCUCCCCGAAAGGGGAAUUAACACUCCAUAAGAUCGUAGACUGGCAUCAGUUAGCGAUUAAAACUCCGGUGGUACAGGAUGAGCAUGCUUCUGAUUAGCUAGUUGGUGGUGUAAUGGACCACCAAGGCAAUGAUCAGUAGGGGAACUGAGAGGUUGAUCCCCCACACUGGCACUGAGAUACGGGCCAGACUCCUACGGGAGGCAGCAGUAGGGAAUAUUGGUCAAUGGAUGCAAGUCUGAACCAGCCAUGCCGCGUGCAGGAAGAAGGCCUUCUGGGUUGUAAACUGCUUUUGUCAGGGGAUAAAAUGGGAGUGCGCUCCUAAUUGAAGGUACCUGGCGAAUAAGCCACGGCUAACUACGUGCCAGCAGCCGCGGUAAUACGUAGGUGGCAAGCGUUGUCCGGAUUUAUUGGGUUUAAAGGGUGCGUAGGCGGUCCUAUAAGUCAGUGCUGAAAUAUCCCGGCUUAACCGGGAGGGUGGCAUUGAUACUGCAGGACUUGAGUGGAGUCGAGGUAGGCGGAAUUGACGGUGUAGCGGUGAAAUGCUUAGAUAUCGUCAAGAACACCGAUAGUGAAGACAGCUUACUAGACUUCAACUGACGCUGAGGCACGAAAGUGUGGGGAUCAAACAGGAUUAGAUACCCUGGUAGUCC
rnacentral:rRNA from 1 species